CUUCCACAGAGCCAUUAGCAGAAUUAAUGCAUCAUGUUGGACAUAAGUUCCAUGAGGUAUUUCAGAUAAGACAAGGAUGCCAUGCAGAUCUUCCUGCUGCAAAGAUCUCAGAAAUGAUGAAAUCCAACAGUUUAGAUCGUGUGGCUUGUCUACUUAGAAAAUAUUUUCCUUUGCUAAUUGAAGAUGCUAUUGGUACUACAAUAGCUUGGCCAUCUGACAAAGUUGUUAUUCUUUGAAAAUCUGCAGUCUAUUGUUGAAGAUGAU